AUUGAACGCUGGCGGCAGGCCUAACACAUGCAAGUCGAACGAGUGGCGGACGGGUGGGUAAUGUCUGGGAAACUGCCUGGUGGAUGGGGAUACCUACUGGAAACGGUAGCUAAUACCGCCUACCAUCGGAUGUGCCCCGUUGGGAUUAGCUAGUCGGUGGGGUAACGGCUGACCUAGGCGACGAUCCCUAGUUGGUCUGAGAGGAGGACCAGCCAAACUGGAACUGAGACACGGUCCAGACUCCUACGGGAGGCAGCAGUGGGGAAUAGUGCAAAAUGGGGGAAACCCUGAUGCAGCCAUGACGCGUGUAUGAAGAAGGCCGUCGGGUUGUAAAGUACUUUCAGCGGGGAGGCGGUACCCGCAGAAGAAGCACCGGCUAACUCCGUGCCAGCAGCCGCGGUAAUUC
rnacentral:rRNA from 1 species